GGGACUACCACUCACGCAGAGCCAAUCGGAACUCGCGGUGGGGCUGCUGGGUCUUCCAGGAGCGCGCAGGAGCGGACGCUGCCUAUGGGUGGCCGGGCGGGAUGUAACCGGCUGCUGAGCUGGCAGUUCUGUGUCGCUAGGCUUCUGCCCGGCCGCCGCCGCACAUAAGCUGCGAGGAGGAGCUUUACGACUGCCCGGUCUUCGGGGCCGGGCGCAGCAAGGGCCAGACUCUGCGCUAGCAGGCGCUGCGCGCCAACCGGCCAGCACCUGUCGCAGAAGGUGCAACCGAUCGCACUGUCGCGCAGAAGCUCCUCAAUGGCCAGCGCCAGCUGCAGCCCCGGCCGCCCACUCGCCUCAAUCUGAGCCUGGGUGGAACAAUCCAAAGUUUUAAUCAAAGAAGGUGGUGUUCAGUUGCUGCUUACAAUAGUUGAUACCCCAGGAUUUGGAGAUGCAGUGGAUAAUAGUAAUUGGUAAAAAGGAUUUGUCCUCACAACUUUCCAGUGUAUUUGGG
rnacentral:lncRNA from 1 species